UAUUGUAAGAGUUUUUAAUGAAAAAACAAGUGACAUUUAUAUGCAAUGCAAAUAAUUUUAUAUACAAAUCCUUUUAUAAUGCAAUUUUUACUAAAUUUAUUCGCUAGAGAAAUAUAAAUUUGAAACAAAAUUAAAUCUUCGGUUCCCGUUUGUUAUAAAUGCACUUAAUUAAAACUACUUUUACGGUUUAGUUUCGCUUCUAUUAUUUACUUUUUAUUAUUUUUGACGUUUCAAAAACAUCAUAUUUUUCUUGAAAUGUAAACGUAUAGAUAUAAACGUAUAGACAAUUUCUUUUGUUACUUACACACUAAAUAUAGUGUAGAAAUAGUAGCAAUCUAUAAAUUCACAAUUAAGUGCGUAAUUAACGUAUCACAAUUAAGUGAACAAGUGUUCAUCAGUCUGCGGUCAGGAGCGAGGGUGGCCAUCCACAACCUGCAGAGCGCUAAACGCCGUAGCACAAUGCUGUGCUGAAAACAAUUGACUCUAAUGAUCGAGUUCUUUAAUUUAUAUAUGAGAUAGAACACACAUGAAUUGCUUUGUGUUUGCGUGUGUACAUUUUAAAGGUGUGCCGGCCGGGGAAAAGUGCGCCUGGUUCCCGAAAAUCAAAUAUUUUUCACAAAAAGCACUAAUUGCAGCCGAAAAACCAAUUCGGAUCCCGAUCCGGAAUUAAUGGUAGACAGAAUCACUACUAUUACACCAAUAAGGCGAUGUUUGUUUAUAAGCCAAUACCUAAAAUAACAUUUUAUUUGUUUCUGUUUUAAGUGUGUCGAUGCGCCUGAAUUAUGUUCUGUUUUUAAUGUUAUGAAUUAUUAUUAAAGUAACUCAUAUGUGUAUGUAUUUUAAUACUUCAAAAAUAA